GUUGAUAGUUAAGAGCUAUUAGAUGAAAAUUUAGUUAAAUUAGUCAAAUUAUUUAAUGACUUUCAGUUAUUCACUUUACGUGAAAAACUGAACCGAGUUUA